rnacentral:lncRNA from 1 species
GCAAGGUGUGGUCCUGGAAUAGCCAUGGUGGAGUACUUGAGGAGGGUGGAUCCUAGACAGAUGGAUUAGAUUUCAUUCCCCACCCCCCAGGUCAAAAAAGACCAUAAACAAAGUUGAAAACCAAAUGACAAGUGAAGAAAAAAGUUGGUAAUUAUGAUCAACAAAAGAUCACUAAAAACACGUAUCAGUAAGAAGAUAAAUGCUAUAAUGGAAAAAUAGGCAACAGAUUUGAACAGGCAAGCCAGAAAUAAACAAAUAGAUUAAGCAGGAAAAAGUAUUCAGCAUUACUACUAAUCAAAAAUAUUAAAAAAAAAAAUAGGGUAGCAUUUCUUUUGCCUUUUAUUUGGACCAACAUUAAAAAUAUUGAUGAUAAAAAAUACUGAUAGAACUCAGUGAGGCUAUGGAUAAAAUGGC